AGAGAAGAAACAAUCAUUUUCUAAGCAAUAAGGUUACUGAACUACUUUGGCUGAGUAAAUAACUCUGUUUGCUUCAGGGCACAUUCAGAGAAAUUUCCAAUUCUUGUCGUGGAUUAUGACAUGUUUUCCGCUUGAUAAGACAACAGAAGUGUGUAUUGGACAUUUAAGCAGAUUUUAAUGUGCAAGUUCUCAACACGCUGGUUUUCCCAGGACUGCUGCUGGAUGGAUCAAGAAGCCUGCUGGAGCUUGAGAGUCCUGAAGAAGCUGCCUCUUCCUUGACCCCACUGCUACUCUGUACGUGGCUGGAUCUCUUGGAAAUUGCCAACCCUGGAGAGAAGUGUCUUUGACUUCUCUCCUGGCCUGGACAAACCACAGAGGAAACUUAAGGCAAAGAAGCCAACAUAACACAGAGACUGAGACUCUGAGGAAUGUGAUAUGGAGAUGGAAAAAUGGGGCUGGAUUUCAGUGGCACGAUCUCAGCUUACUGCAACCUCCGCCUCCUGGGUUCAAUGGAUUCUCCUGCCUCAGCCUCCGGAGUAGCUGGGACUAUAGGCAUGCAACCACACUCAGCUAAUUUUUGUAUUUUUAGUAGAGACAGAUUUGCACCAUGUUGGCCAGGAUGGCCUCAAUCUCUUGACCUCGUGAUCUGCCCACCUCGGCCGCCCAAAGUGCUGGGAUUACAGGUAUGAGCCACCUUGCCGGGCUUCAAGAAGUUUUAAAUCUGAGAUUCCUAUAAGAUCAAUGUGGAAAGAAAAAGUUAUAUUUCCAAAGAAAAACUGUAAUACACCUGUGCAUUGUUUUUUUGUUCUUAUUCUCUGACUGAAUCAAUUUCUGAAUUUUCCUAAUUUUCUCCAAUAUUUGGCUACAACUCUGUAACUCAAACAAAAAAAAGCUACUCUGUUCCUAUAAAAAGCAAUAUAGAGUUGAAACUAGAUGAAUUUCAAGAGACAAACCCUGUAUCUGAUGUAUGGACCACAUAAAAUGUUCACUAAGCUGCCUGAUGUCAUGACCAGAAACACUCAAACUACAAACUAGGAGAAGUUAAUGUUUUCACAGUGUAAAAAGCUUUUCUCAAGACACAGAAACAAGACUCCAGAUCAUAGUAAGAAUCUUACCCCACUUGCUACCUUUUGUACUUGACAAGAUAAUGAUUAAUUGAAAUUUCAUAAUCAAUAGCUUCUGCUGGUAACUUAACAGAAGGUAACCUAAUAAAUCCUUCAGUACCCAUUGGUUGAAUUAAAAAAAUAUAUAUGUGCUAUUGCUAGUACUACAUGCCGAUCUAGAUAAAUUUCUCUGGGAAAAGUUGACCCUCAUAUAUACAAAAUAAGCAAACAAGCUACAUGCUUACAAAAUCCUUCAUCUAAUUCCCUAUGCUUAUUUGAUUCAUGCAAUUGGUGAUCUUAAAGUCAAGGUUUAUGGCUCAAAACCAUUACCUAAACUGGAAUUGUCACAUUAUUAUUAAUAUUACUUUGUAUUUUCCUUGUUUAAGCUUUAUAUCUGUUACUAAUUAAAUUUUUGCAGAAGUUCAACUUCUAACAAAAUAAUACUGACCCUACACUUUAAGCUGGUAUCAAAAGACCAUGGAACAGACAAAAUUGAACUUACUAAUGAACUCUGAGUGGACUUAGCAUGAGAGCCCCUCCUUUUAAACCUCUGUUGUUGCUCAAAUAUGGCUAAAAGAAUGUUGACACUGACUGCUACUUGCUCAUCCUUCUCCCCAAUGUGGAAUGAGACCAGCAACUGGGACAGGUACAUUCUGGUGUCAAGGGACAACAAGUCUUAACUAUAGUGUAAUUUAUCAGUGAUACUUUCAGAGAAAGAUCUUGAUCAAAAGGGGGAAAUGUGAAAGUCAUCAGAAUCCAAAUGGAGCCACUAAUUUUAAGAAAAGUCUGACACAUAGAGCUGGGGAAGGCUAUAAAGAGAAGGUUCUCAUGCUUGUACACUUUAUAAUGAAACCACAACCUUGCACAAAGUCUGUCACAACCUUAUACAAAAAAUAUUUCUGCAAGGACAUCCGCUCAGCAGCUGCAUGGCCAAACUUGGACUGGUGUCACCUUUGUUUUAAUCUUUGAAGCAGUGGAGAAGUUUUUCAAAAUGAUUAGGUAAUUUUUCUCAUUUUUUUCUGUAAAACCUUUUGUCUUCCUUUACUUCCCUGAAUAUGCAUGUAGUUUACUACGGCAUGUAUAUUUCUUUCGCAAUGCUCUAUUCCCAAAUAGGCAUCUUAUUUUUAGACAGCCUCUCUUUGUCUGUUAUUUUGAUUGACAAUGUAUAUGUGUGUGUUGAAUAGUAAAGUAAAAAUAAAUAUAUAUUUUUUAAUUUGGAAUUGCAGUUAAAAACUCUUAGGGUCACACUAUAAAAAUAUUCCACUGCAACAGGAAAUAUAACUUUUUCCCUUGUCUAUGGCAAUGGUGAACCCAAGCCAGGAGGGAAACUCAGCCUUAAUGAAUACAACAUGGUGGUAAUAAAGAGAGAUUCUGAUGUUGAAUUACUCUUUUAGUUGCUACCCUCUUUUGUUUUGUUUUGUUUUUUUCCAAAGGCAAAAAGACCUUCGACUAAGCUUGUCCUGAGAUUCCUGUGUUGUCUUUUGUGCUUUUCCUACAUCACCUUCUAAAUCCAUACUUUAAUUUUAGAAGAAAAUGAGAAUCUCUCAGUGACUCUUCCCGUAGUUUGUCUGAGUUUUGGCAAACUGACAACUGGGAGUCUGCCUUUGUAACUUUCUGUCUUUCUGACGUGUUCACUGAGAUCUCCAAUAAAAGACACAACAACCCA